rnacentral:rRNA from 1 species
AGCGAACGCUGGCGGCAGGCCUAACACAUGCAAGUCGAACAAACUCUUCGGAGUUAGUGGCGGACGGGUGAGUAACACGUGGGAACGUGCCUUUAGGUUCGGAAUAACUCAGGGAAACUUGUGCUAAUACCGAAUGUGCCCUUCGGGGGAAAGAUUUAUCGCCUUUAGAGCGGCCCGCGUCUGAUUAGCUAGUUGGUGAGGUAAAGGCUCACCAAGGCGACGAUCAGUAGCUGGUCUGAGAGGAUGAUCAGCCACAUUGGGACUGAGACACGGCCCAAACUCCUACGGGAGGCAGCAGUGGGGAAUCUUGCGCAAUGGGCGAAAGCCUGACGCAGCCAUGCCGCGUGAAUGAUGAAGGUCUUAGGAUUGUAAAAUUCUUUCACCGGGGACGAUAAUGACGGUACCCGGAGAAGAAGCCCCGGCUAACUUCGUG